GCAGCAGUUCCCGCAAGUGGUGCCGCGAGCGCGUUUUGAAAAUGGCGAACUCCAGUGAGGAAGAUAGACGAGCCACCCGGAAACAAUGUAUGACUCCUAAAAUGAAGAAGACAUGAACGAAAUUCUUCAAACGCUGUGCUGUUCUGACAUUUCUUGCGCCAUCAGCGACGACGAUGAUCCAAAGCUGGCAGCCCCCGCCAGCUCUCUCACAGAACGAAGAACGGUGAAAACCAGGAACGAACGGCAACCCUAGAGCAGAUGAUCUCGUCAACAGAAUCUCGGAACGAAAAUGUCCAUAACGAAAGUGGCAGGUUCAUAUGGAAGCGUCGACAAUUUGAGGGGCACUGAUCAUGGCUCCAGUGUCUGGUAGGAUUCCAGACAAUACAGUCAAGCUCCAGAGCACUGCAGUGCACAGGCCUGCGAAGCUGCCCGGAGCUGACGUAAGACGUGAUGGUUUCGACCACUGGGCGACAGCAAAUAGCCUAGCAUCAGCCCACGUUUGUAGGCUUGAAGGUUGCAAGUAUCAUACCUGAACGAGAUGUGACAAGUGCAAUGUGUACUUGUGUUGAACCAGUGGAAAGAACUGUUUCAAGUACUUUCACAUCUUCAUAGAUGUGCCAAUAAAGACCCAGACAAUACAUAAUGUCAUAAACAGCGAGAAUUAGCCGAGACAGGCCACAGAUAUGGAUGACACAAACAGGUAAGCCUCCAACGCCCAGAACACAUACACAGAACACAUAUGUGUUGGUCUGCUGUUCUCAGUUGGGUUGCAGUAAGUGCACGUUUAAGUUAAAUGGUACAUUACUCUGGCCAUGUGCAAUAAUAGACAUUGUGCAUGACCAGAAGUGUGCGAUAUCUUCGUAAGUUCACAUUACAUGUUUUUCUUCAGAAUUAUACUGCAUAUAGCCUACUCUGAUGUAAUAUUGUUUUAACGGCCAGCGCAAGCCUGAAUGAGCUUUUAUAAUUAAUCAGCGUAGUUUAAUUAAUACAAAAUCAGUUCGUGGUCUUAAUUAGAGAUCAAAGCCCUGAGGUAUAAUCCACAAAAAUGGAAACCACAGUGAACGUGUAUGGUGCUCUACGACAAAUGGAAAAAUGCAAAAGUUCUGUGUGUCCUGUGAAGUUUUUUUUUUUUUUAUAGCGUUAGGUUUCCCUCUCUGCUGUGUGCAAUCUACCUCGAUGCACUUGCUGCCGUUCUGCGGUCCGUGAUGUACUCCCGCUCUCUAAUGCAAUGAAAUCAAAAGUAAACACUACUUUGUCGUCGCUCCCAGAAGUUAAUGUCUAUGAUGAACGGCGAGACAAGGAAGAAAUAAAAAUUCCAUAAUAGGCAAGCCUGAGCGAUGGGCAAGACAUGUAAACAAACACGAAGGCUCAAACGUCUUGCUGGUUUGAGCCUUCGUGUUUGUGUUUAUUUACGUGUCUUGCCCAUCGCUCAGGCUUGCCUAUCAUGGAAUUUAUCCACCAGCUAGCCUGCGUUUGCCUGUCGAAGAAAUAAAAAGAAGCGUGACAGCGCCACUUUUCUUAGUAGUACAGCAGUACAAAGCAGGGGUGCACCACCCAUUGAGGAACAGCCAGCCAGCAGACUGAGAGAGAGUGAGACAGCGAGGGAGGGAUGAAAAAGCGGCCACACGUAAAAUUGAACUCGGCGGGACGCACACCAGUUUUGUGUUAUUGUCCCUUUUCAUACUGCGGGAACGAAGGUCGCUCCAGGUUCCAUUUUUGCGGAUUGCAAGACCUCAAGGUUCUGCUUUACAAACUCUCUGGUUUAAACCAUCAGUCCAGUUUUAUUCAUUAUUUUGAAAGCCCAUUAAAGCCCCAGGACAGGUUUCGUCUUUCAGACGUAUGGAAAAUUUGGUUGGCUGAAGAGUGGGAAAGAAGAAUCAGUGACAAACCAAAAUAACAGGAAAACGAGCUGUCUGGACCAGCCCGCUUUGUGAGGCGCUCUCCGUGCGUUAUCGCUAUCUCUGAAUGACACGGCAGCGUCUGUCGCCUGCGAAGAAAACAUUUCUGUGACCUGAUCGGGGGUUUACAAGUAUUUCUACGAAGGCGGCAUUCGCCCAUUACAAACUAUGGCUACAGUGUGUACCGGUUGCCUUGUUCGUACAUUGUUGUAUUGAGUCGUAGGGUCAUGGCGAAGAAAAUAUAAGAUGAUUGAAAAAUAAAUUGUAUACAAAUUCA